rnacentral:rRNA from 1 species
AUUGAACGCUGGCGGCAUGCUUUACACAUGCAAGUCGAACGGCAGCGGGGAGGAGCUUGCUUCUCUGCCGGCGAGUGGCGAACGGGUGAGUAAUACAUCGGAACGUGUCGAGAAGAGGGGGAUAACCACCCGAAAGGGUGGCUAAUACCGCAUAAAUUCUGAGGAAGAAAGCUGGGGACCUAGGAAUAGGCCUAGCGCUUUUUGAGCGGCCGAUGUCGGAUUAGCUAGUUGGUGAGGUAAAGGCUCACCAAGGCGAAGAUCUGUAGCGGGUCUGAGAGGAUGAUCCGCCACACUGGGACUGAGACACGGCCCAGACUCCUACGGGAGGCAGCAGUGGGGAAUUUUGGACAAUGGGGGCAACCCUGAUCCAGCCAUGCCGUGUGUAUGAAGAAGGCCUUAGGGUUGUAAAGUACUUUUGUUAGGGAAGAAAAGUCAGCUGUGAAUAAUGGCUGAUACUGACGGUACCUAAAGAAUAAGCACCGGCUAACUACGUG